rnacentral:lncRNA from 1 species
UUAAGGAAUUUACAGAUAACUUUGCAAGGGGACCGCUUACAAGUGCCUCAUGUGCGUAUUGGUUUCGAUCCCAGGACAUGGAGCAGGAAAACUUGCACACCUGUUUACCGUACUCUGGCAAUGUAGGGAGGCAAGCACUCAGGGCCACGACUGCAUUACCCAGUCAAGUCAGUCGCCGAGGCCCCACUGUUUUCCUACCACACUUCAUCGGCAGUUUGAUUGCAGAGUCUGUGGACGCCAGCACAUGGUUAACUCGUGUUGCUGUGGCCACCCAGCGCCAUGCACGGUUCUGUAUCCACAGUGUUGUGUUCAGGCGCGUGUUUACAUUUCUUCGUCUGUUGAAUAAUUGGAUGAAUGAAUGAAUGAACGAAUGAAAGGGGUUUUACGUUGUGGCGACUCGCCAUGCCACUAGUUCGGGUCGGUUCGGGUGGUGGUAUCUUUUCGUCGAACACACACACACACACACAAUGAAUGAAUGAAAUGAGAACCGAGGACGGUAACCAGGCGUGUAGGGUUCCUGCCACUUACAGAAUCAAAACCAACACAGUAGUUACAGAGUCUCAUAAAGUUUCAUUAGUUCCUUCAACUACCGUGAUUCUGGAUGCCUGCCUGAGAGUUUCCGGGCCGACCCCGCAAUUGGUCGAAAUUGCUCGAUACAAGGGUUGAAAUUGGCACGGGGUCUAAACCUGGGACAAGUUAAAUUGCCGGGACAGGCCCUUGAAUUGGCCUGACAGGGACACGAAUUGGCCUGGCAGGGACAUUCCAACAGUCAGGAUUAGCCUGACAGGGACACGAAUUGGCCUGGCAGGGACAUUCGGACUGUCAGAAUUGGCCUGUUCGGGGCGUCUGUUCGGGGCGUCGAAUUAGGGAAGCAAAGGAAUUGUGCGACCGUGGCAGUCCAAAGAAUUGCUCUCCCCGACCAUGUAUCCUACCCUCUAACCCAUGCUAUGUGUUAAGGCUCCUGGCCAGGUAUGCAACGUAUAGAAUUCAACGUUCUGAAUCCCGUAAUGUAUUUACGUUACCGAGGCUUGGGCCUCGACUGCGUCAGCCCUCUUUACAUUUCCUGUCCCGGACCUAUUACGCGCAAGCCCAAUUAGACAUAUAUUCCCCUCACGCCUCUUCGCAGACAUUUACAUACUCCGUAUGGGAAGCCAAAGCCAAGUACUAAUGGUGCAGCUUCGCUGGGAAAGAGGGGGACUUCCCG